UUACGGUCCGUUAACACCGAGCAGCCGAGCCCAAGAGGACGAAGCAAGUGCAGGCACCUGCGUGGAGCACCGUUGCCAUACUGCUCGCUGGGCUCGCCGUUUUUUUUCACUCUGUAACCAGAGACUGCAGCAGUUGGUGCCGCGCCUCUUUGCCAUAGUUGCUGAACAGCAAAGGAAGCAGCUGGUAGAUGCAGCUCAGAGGUAUGCCCAGUGUCCAGGAAAAGCAUCAUGCUGUGUGUUUUCCCCGCCUGUGGAGG